UAACAAUGAUUUUACUCUGGAGCAGCUGACAAAUGUGCUGGUUAACAUAUUUGGGAUCAGAGUGCUGAAUAGUCAUUGCCAGCAGUGGAGAUCAUGGAGUGACAAAAUUAUUACAUGGAAGAGAGAGUCUAAGUUACCUAGUGGAUCAUCUAGUCUAAUAUCCUACCCCAAGAAGACAGUAUUCCCAAUAAAUAUCUGCUCAAAUAUGGAAAUGUCCAAGGAAAGCAGAUCAACAGCCUUAAGAACAUACAUACAGCCCUGCUGGGUUAAACCAAAAGGUGGAUGUAGUUCAUCAUUCUGUGUCCAACUGUGACCAGCCAGCCAGAUGCUUCUGGGAUUCCCACAAGCAGGACAUUAAGGCAACAUGCCAUUCUACUACUGCUGAAGUUCUCUUUCAGUUAGAAACUUUUUCCCCUCUAGUAUUUUUUUUAAUUGAAAAAUGUUCAUGUAUGCUACAAAAAAAGAUGGAGAAAGAACUUCAAUAUAAGUGAUAAGCACCACCUGACCUCAGUGGGCAGGAUGAACCAUUGUUAUCCUUUUCUCUCUGAGUCUUUUAAUAUCUUUUUUUUUUUAAAUGUAUUCUGCCCUUCAAUUUUAAAAAGAAAAUUCUCAGAGUGACUUAGGUUGAUUAAAAGCAAAUCAACAGGAGAAAACAUGAAAAACAUUGAAUUGUGAAAAAACAGGGACCAGUAAUAAAAGCAUCUAAGAAGCAUGCUAUAAAGUGGAUUCAACUGAUGUUAUAAAAAGCCUGAGAAAACAAAAAGAUUUUCUUUUGGUGCCAAAAGGUUUUGACAGCUGAGCCUCCCUGGAGAGAGUUUUCAAGACAGGCCAAGAAGGCCACUAACAUUUCUUUUUUCUAGGUGAGAUACACCCAGGUCUUCCACUUGUCUUUAUAGAAUCUGCCUUCUGAAUUCUUAAUUAUCUUUAUGCAUCUCAGCUGAAUAAAGUUGUAUUGGCUUUCAGUUCCAAAUAAGGACUGUCUUAAGAUAAAGAACAAUCAGUAUCUAGUCAAUGUCCUAAUACUGCAUCCAUGCAGCAAAAGGAUGCCUUGCCACAUAAGUAGCAUCCAUGCUUUGGAAUUUUGGUUGGUGUUUCAUGUAUGGGGAGGGGUGAUUUUCACUAGAAGCACUCUGACUUUGAGCAAUCUGGAAACAUGUCCCUGAAGGCUACAGAACCCUCAAGGACAUGCUUCCAAUUUGCUCAGAGUGUUCUGGGGAAGGGGAGAUCAGCAAAAAUGACCCCCAUGUCUAACCAUAUGGUGAAAUAGUGCUUAUAAAAUGUAGCUAUGCUGAGUCUUUACCACAAUUGGUGGUGUGUGUGUGUGUGUGCGCGCGCAAAAAUAUCUGAUGAUUCAAACCUCUUCCAGUUCAAAUGUUCUCCCAGCUGGCAUCCUCUCCUCAGCAUCCAUUAAAGUUUUUUAGAAAACAAGUAAAAAUGUGACACUUCGCCUGUAUGAGAGUAUAAUUUUUACUGCUGUUUUGUGAACAAUAAAGCUGUGACUUAUAGAAUCCACCUUUAAAGUCAAGAGAACAAGAACAAACUCUGGGUAAAGCUGAUUUCCAUUUGUAUGUACAUUUCAAAUGUGAAAUGUUUCAGUUACACCUAAUUGAAAAUGUUCAUUGGCUCUAGCUUCUAAGUGGGGAAAGAUGCUUACCUGGAAAUGCAGAUUUGCAAUAGUUCUAUGGUGUAUUCUUCUUGCAUUUCAUUGUGAUUGUUGUGCUGAAGGAAAAACAAAAAAGAUAUGCCAAUAUGUCAUCCCUUGGAUACAUUUGACUUCUCAAGCUGAACUGAAUAAUGACAGGAAGCCAGAGGAGAAAAAGAUGGGAGGAAAGCUGAUGGAGUGAAAAGGUGAACUGUGUAAAAGGUGAGCCGCUUGAGGUUUGUUUAGUAAAACAAAACAAAAAAGCCAGGAUCAAGGGAACCGUAACAGAAGUUAUUUAGAUUUUGCAUAUGCCAGUGUGUGCUGAGAUCAUAUGGGAGAUUUAAUUUAUAACCUUUUUUAUUUGCUGACUGAUUAAAAAAUCUUGUUGAUAAUUCCUCUUCUUUGUUAUCCAAUCAGUUAAUGAAUUAUUAUAUUUAAAUACUUUUGCAUAAUGUCAACCUUGUAUAAUGUCUUUUUAAGAUAAGAGUUGUUCGAUAACUUGGAAUUCAAUAUACAAAGACUAACCUUCACUGUUAGAAUGAAAGACUUCUUUACAUAUUAAACUAACAUAUCAAAACAAUGUCAAGAAACAAACCUGUGUAUUUACUCACAGUUCAAACAAUUAAAAAAGUAUCCCUCACUUAUUCAAA